AGAGGCAGUAAGGCAGGGAGAGAAGCUGGUUAGGCAUUUCCUGAUUGAAGUCAGCGGUGCUCCAUUUGCUGAUGGAGAGAGCUGAAGGGCCAGCUGGGAAAAGCUGGGAGAGACAGGGCCAGGGAAAUGGGGCCAGGCUCUCCCAAACACAUAUAAACUUGGAUGAAAGGUCAGACUCCAGCUUAUUUACAAACAACAGUGCAUUACUUGAAUUCCCCAAAGUAAUACUCCUAGAGGAGUAUUAACUAUUAGCUAGGAGUCCUUCCAGACUGCAAACUUGUCUCGGAGCAAUAGUAAAACAUCUUGUUUCUUCUGUCCAAAAGAAGCAGUUGGAUUGUCUCUUGGCUUUGGCUAGGCAAAUAACAUCCUCCUCGAAACAAAUCUGUCUGUUUCCUUAUCCUUUAAAGGUGGAACAACUGCGGCUGUGAGUAACAUGGCUGGAAAGAGAAAGACCCUUUCAGCACCUGGCUUUUGAGCACCCAGGGAGACCCGCACCUAGCUGGAAGACUGGAAUUGAGGUGCCGAUGGAGAGCCACUGCAGGCCAGCUUCUCCAAGUCUGAAGGCACUCCAGAAUUGAACUGUGGUGUUGAGAAGACUCUUGAGAGCCCUUGGACUGCAAGGAGAUCCAACCAGUCAAUCCUAAAGGUAUCAGUCCUGAAUUGGAAGGGCUGAUGCUGAAGCUGAAACUCCAAUACUUCGGCCACCUGAUGUGAAGAACUGACUCAUUGGAAAAGACCCUGAUGCUGGGAAAGAUUGAAGGCAGGAGGAGAAGGGGAUGACAGAGGAUGAGAUGGAUGGAGGCAUCACCAACUUGAUGAACAUGAGUUUGAGUAGGCCCCAGGAGUUGGUGAUGGACAGGGAAGCCUGGUGUGCUGCAGCCCUUGGGCUUGCAAAGAGUUGGACACAACUGAGCAACUGAACUAAUUUAACUCUUAAAAUCUUUGUUCUCCCUCAAAUAAGUGGUAAUAUCAAAUUCUCAAUCAUCUAGAUAUGUGGAAAUUCAACCCAUGUUUAUUGAGUGCUUACCACGUGUUUUGUUAGUCCCUGUGUUAAUCAGUUCUCAUAAGAACACUAUUGACUCAGGAAUAUCAUUAAUGCCAUUGAGCAGAUAAGGAAUAUGAAGCAUCAGUUCAGUGGCUCAGUCGUGUCCAACUCUUUGCG
ensembl:lncRNA